rnacentral:tRNA from 1 species
GGAAGCUGAUGGGGUCUGGUGGCUCUCGCGGUCUUCAAAACCGCUGGCCGCGCCUGGCGCGGCGGCAGGUUCGAUUCCUGCCUCUUCCG